rnacentral:SRP_RNA from 1 species
GCUGGGUGUGGUGGUGCGUGCCUGUAGUCCCAGCUACUCGGGAGGCUGAGGCUGGAGGAUCCCUUGAGUCCAGGAGUUCCAGGCUGCAGUGCACUAUGCUGAUCGGGUGUCCACACUAAGUUCAACAUCAAUAUAGUGACCUCCUGGGAGCGGGGGACCACCAGGUUACCUAAGCAGGGGUGAACUGGCCCAGGUCGGAAAUAGAGCAGGUCAAAACUCCUGUACUGAUCAGUACUGGGAUUGCGCCUGUGAACAGCCACUGCACUCCAGCCUGGGCAACACGGCAAGAUCCCGUCUCA